ACGCCCGAGCAUUCUCUGUCUGAGCAGUCCAGACUCUUCUCUGCUCCUUUAAGGUUUCUGUACUGGGCAGUAGUUGCUUAAAACAUGUAAAGCCGUGAGCACUACUAAGCAUAGCCCGGCCGGCAUUAAUUACAAAAAUAGGUACAAGUAGAAACAAUGCCUCAGGGAUCAUUGAUUUAGCCUGUUUUAUUGAUAACAAAGCUGGGGCCAGAGCGGUGCAGUGAUUUCCUGAGCCAAUGAAGCAGUAUGGAGUAGAGAUGGAACAAGGCCUUCUUUGGGGCUCCUUCCUCACAAGGCAAAACCUUCCAGGCAAAAGACCCCAUGGACAUAGAAUCCUGGAUGCAAACCAGAACAGCCACUGCCUGAAUGAAGAGCUCUGGCAACCCAGACUACCCAAACCUGUUUGAGCUCAACCCCUAACGCAGGCCUGGAAAGAUGGACAAUGGAGUGACCGACAGUUACCUUUACCUCAUUAAAAUACUAAAAUCCCUGCCCAA